rnacentral:rRNA from 1 species
GAGGUGAAAUUCUUGGACCGUGGCCAGACAAACUACAGCGAAAGCAUUUGCCAAGAAUGUUUUUAUUAAUCAAGAACGAAAGUCAGAGGUUCGAAGGCGAUCAGAUACCGCCCUAGUUCUGACCGUAAACGAUGCCAACUAGCGAUCCGCCGAUGGAAAUUAUAUUGCCUUGGUGGGGAGCUUCCCGGAAACGAAAGUCUUCCGGUUCCGGGGGAAGUAUGGUUGCAAAGCUGAAACUUAAAGGAAUUGACGGAAGGGCACCACCAGGAGUGGAGCCUGCGGCUUAAUUUGACUCAACACGGGGAAACUCACCCGGCCCGGACACUGUGAGGAUUGACAGAUUGAUAGCUUUUUCAUGAUUCAGUGGAUGGUGGUGCAUGGCCGUUCUUAGUUCGUGGAGUGAUUUGUCUGGUUUAUUCCGAUAACGAGCGAGACUCUAACCUACUAAAUAGUUGGUACAUACUCUUAGUGUAUACAGCUUCUUAGAGGGAUUUGCGGCGUUCAGCCGAAAGAAAUUGAGCAAUAACAGGUCUGUGAUGCCCUUAGAUGUCCGGGGCUGCACGCGCGCUACACUGGCAAAAUCAACGUGCUUGUCCUACCCUGAAAGGGGCGGGUAAACCAUUGAAAAUUUGCCGUGAUUGGGAUCGGAAAUUGCAAUUAUUUUCCGUGAACGAGGAAUUCCAAGUAAGUGCGAGUCAUCAGCUCGCGUUGAUUACGUCCCUGCCCUUUGUACACACCGCCCGUCGCUGCCCGGGACUGAGCCAUUUCGAGAAAUUUGGGGACCGUUGAUUWAAUUUUUCUAAAWKMMWKYSAUGGAAACCAAUUUAAUCGCAGUGGCUUUGAACCAUUAUCU